rnacentral:rRNA from 1 species
UACGGAGGGUGCAAGCGUUAUCCGGAUUCACUGGGUUUAAAGGGUGCGUAGGAGGGCAGGUAAGUCAGUGGUGAAAUCCUAGAGCUUAACUCUAGAACUGCCGUUGAUACUAUCUGUCUUGAAUAUUGUGGAGGUGAGCGGAAUAUGUCAUGUAGCGGUGAAAUGCUUAGAUAUGACAUAGAACACCAAUUGCGAAGGCAGCUCGCUACACAUAUAUUGACUCUGAGGCACGAAAGCGUGGGGAGCAAACAGG